GAUGAACGCUGGCGGCGUGCCUAAUACAUGCAAGUCGAGCGAACGGACGAGAAGCUUGCUUCUCUGAUGUUAGCGGCGACGGGUGAGUAACACGUGGAUAACCUACCUAUAAGACUGGGAUAACUUCGGGAAACCGGAGCUAAUACCGGAUAAUAUUUUGAACCGCAUGGUUCAAAAGUGAAAGACGGUCUUGCUGUCACUUAUAGAUGGAUCCGCGCUGCAUUAGCUAGUUGGUAAGGUAACGGCUUACCAAGGCAACGAUGCAUAGCCGACCUGAGAGGGUGAUCGGCCACACUGGAACUGAGACACGGUCCAGACUCCUACGGGAGGCAGCAGUAGGGAAUCUUCCGCAAUGGGCGAAAGCCUGACGGAGCAACGCCGCGUGAGUGAUGAAGGUCUUCGGAUCGUAAAACUCUGUUAUUAGGGAAGAACAUAUGUGUAAGUAACUGUGCACAUCUUGACGGUACCUAAUCAGAAAGCCACGGCUAACUACGUG
rnacentral:rRNA from 1 species